UACAGAGGGUGCGAGCGUUGUCCGGAAUCACUGGGCGUAAAGGGCGCGUAGGCGGCGCGGUAAGCGUGCGGUGAAAGCCCGGGGCUCGACCCCGGGUCGGCCGUGCGGACUGCCGGGCUGGAGCACUGUAGAGGCAGGUGGAAUUCCGGGUGUAGCGGUGGAAUGCGUAGAGAUCCGGAAGAACACCGGUGGCGAAGGCGGCCUGCUGGGCAGUAGCUGACGCUGAAGCGCGACAGCGUGGGGAGCAAACAGG
rnacentral:rRNA from 1 species